GAGCGAGCUCCGAAAGCGAGAGAAGAGAGCAUUCAGUCGCUCGCCUGCUCUACAGCUGUAACGACACGCUACUUGUUAUUUCUUCGCCGUCGCUCGAUAAUAACUUCAACCAACAAGAUGCCUGCUGACAGCUACUUGAAAGCCGACCCAGAGCUGAAGAAGGAGCUGGCCGAGAUCGCCGCUGCGAUCGUCGCACCCGGCAAGGGUAUCCUCGCCGCCGACGAGUCGACCGCCACCAUCGGCAAGCGCCUCCAGAGCAUCAAUGUCGAGAACAACGAGGAGAACCGCAAGGCCUACAGGCAGCUGCUCUUCUCCACCUCCAAGGAUGUGAUCAAGGAGCACAUCAGCGGUGUCAUCCUCUUCCACGAGACCCUGUACCAAAAGGCCGAGGACGGCACCCCCUUCACCCAGCUGAUGAAGGAGCGCAACAUCAUCCCCGGCAUCAAGGUCGACAAGGGUGUCGUGCCCCUCUUCGGCACCGACGACGAGUGCACCACCCAGGGCUUGGACGACCUCCAGGCUCGCUGCAUCCAGUACAAGAAGGACGGCUGCCACUUCGCCAAGUGGCGCUGCGUCCUCAAGAUCAAGAAGGACUGCCCCAGCAAGCUGGCCAUCCUCGAGAACGCCAACGUUCUGGCCCGCUACGCCUCGAUCUGCCAGAGCGCCAGGAUAGUGCCGAUCGUCGAGCCCGAGAUCCUUCCCGAUGGUGAUCACGAUCUGGCCCGCUGCCAGCAGGUCACCGAGGAGGUCCUCGCCGCCGUCUACAAGGCCCUGAACGAUCAUCACGUCUACCUCGAGGGUACCCUGCUCAAGCCCAACAUGGUCACGCCCGGCCAGAGCUGCCCGAAGAAGGCCACGCCCCAGGAGAUCGCCUCGGCGACGGUGAUCGCUCUGCAGCGCACCGUGCCCCCGGCGGUGCCCGGCAUCACCUUCCUCAGCGGCGGCCAGUCCGAGGAGGAGGCCUCCGUCAACCUCGACGCCAUCAACAAGUACCCCGGCAAGAAGCCCUGGGCACUCACCUUCAGCUACGGUCGCGCCCUCCAGGCGUCCGUGCUCCAGGCUUGGGGCGGCAAGAAGGAACAGAUCCAGGCUGCGCAGGACGAACUCAUCAAGAGAGCAAAGGCCAAUGGCGCAGCCUGUCAAGGCAAAUACGUUCCCGGCAGUGUCAGCAGCUUAGCAGGCAAAACCUCGCUCCAUGUCAAAGCUCACGCUUACUAAAUACAUUCACUCUUUAAAACACACACACACACAAAUUUAUUCACGCUCAACCAUUGCAAAUCUCAAUGUUGUCAAAAAAAUUGCAUGACCCUAUAUUUCAAUCCAGCCAACAGUGAAGCAGCGCUCGGCAAAUACGCCGGAGGUGUCAGCGGAGCUGCCGGAGAUACGGCACUCUUCGUCGCCAAUCAUGCUUAUUAA
rnacentral:misc_RNA from 1 species